GCUGGAUUCGCUAGUAAUCGCGCAUCAGCCACGGCGCGGUGAAUACGUUCCCGGGCCUUGUACACACCGCCCGUCAAGCCAUGGAANCCGGGGGUGCCUGAAGUGCGCUGCCGCAAGGAGCGCCCUAGGGUAAAACCGGUGACUGGGGCUAAGUCGUAACAAGGUAAC
rnacentral:rRNA from 1 species